GUAUGAGGGUGAAACGGGUCGUCCCCAUACCCUGUUCGGUAUGGGCGCCAAAACACAUAAAGUCUCCAUACCUAGUCCGAUAUGAGAGACCACAUUCCAGGUAGGGUUCCCUAUGGACCCGGUCCGUCCACCAUCUCCUAGGAUAUCUAGUGAGGCUGUCGACAUUAUCCAUUUAUCAAUCCACAUACCUUUUUCUAUUUUUCUUGGUCUCAAUU
rnacentral:lncRNA from 1 species